AGUUCAGUUCAUUCAUUCUCUAUCCUCUCUGAUUUUCUCAUUCACUUUCAUUUCUGAAUUUAACUGUUUGUUUUGUGGAAAAUUCAUAUGCUUAGAUUUUUCUUUCUUAAUAGGCUUAUAUGAUCAUGUUAGAAGACGAACGACCAACAAAAAGAUGACUUUCAUCAGCCCUUGUCAAGGUAUAAAGAAGAAAGUCUUUUGUUGUGCUUUAGAAUUAUGCUGCUGAAUGUUUCUUUCAUUUUCAUUAAGUUUUAGGUAUUGAUAGAGUACUCUGUUUCUUUCAUUUUCACUAAGUGGGAAAUUUUGCUUUUAUUACUGAGCUUUAAUUGUUUAUGCCUCUUAGUUGGAUUUUUUAUUACUGAGCUUUAAUUGUUUAUGCCCCUUGGUCAUUUGUUUCUAUGUUUUCUGCUUUUGCAGUAGCAAUUGAAUCUUGUUGUUCUAUGCUUUUUAUGUGUUGAUAAUUGAGUAACACUUUUAUUUUUUGAAUAGGUCAGUACAUCAGAGCUGUCUUUCUACAUUUAUGCUUCGUACUUCCUAGAAAUUUCAUGAUCUUCCUAUGCAUGCAGGUAUAUUGAGAUGAUUUCUUUGGAGCAAUUCUUGACAACAUUUGUAGUUGA